AACGAACGCUGGCGGCAUGCCUAACACAUGCAAGUCGAACGAGACCUUCGGGUCUAGUGGCGCACGGGUGCGUAACGCGUGGGAACCUGCCCUUAGGUUCGGAAUAACUCCCCGAAAGGGGUGCUAAUACCGGAUAAUGUCUUCGGACCAAAGAUUUAUCGCCUUUGGAUGGGCCCGCGUUGGAUUAGCUAGUUGGUAGGGUAAAAGCCUACCAAGGCGACGAUCCAUAGCUGGUCUGUGAGGAUGAUCAGCCACACUGGGACUGGGACACGGCCCAGACUCCUACGGGAGGCAGCAGUGGGGAAUAUUGGACAAUGGGCUAAAGCCUGAUCCAGCAAUGCCGCGUGAGUGAUGAAGGCCUUAGGGUUGUAAAGCUCUUUUACCCGGGAUGAUAAUGACAGUACCGGGAGAAUAAGCUCCGGCUAACUCCGUG
rnacentral:rRNA from 1 species